rnacentral:rRNA from 1 species
CCUGGCUCAGGAUGAACGCUAGCUACAGGCUUAACACAUGCAAGUCGAGGGGCAGCAUGGUCUUAGCUUGCUAAGGCCGAUGGCGACCGGCGCACGGGUGAGUAACACGUAUCCAACCUGCCGUCUACUCUUGGACAGCCUUCUGAAAGGAAGAUUAAUACAAGAUGGCAUCAUGAGUCCGCAUGUUCACAUGAUUAAAGGUAUUCCGGUAGACGAUGGGGAUGCGUUCCAUUAGAUAGUAGGCGGGGUAACGGCCCACCUAGUCUUCGAUGGAUAGGGGUUCUGAGAGGAAGGUCCCCCACAUUGGAACUGAGACACGGUCCAAACUCCUACGGGAGGCAGCAGUGAGGAAUAUUGGUCAAUGGGCGAGAGCCUGAACCAGCCAAGUAGCGUGAAGGAUGACUGCCCUAUGGGUUGUAAACUUCUUUUAUAAAGGAAUAAAGUCGGGUAUGGAUACCCGUUUGCAUGUACUUUAUGAAUAAGGAUCGGCUAACUCCGUGCCAGCAGCCGCGGUAAUACGGAGGAUCCGAGCGUUAUCCGGAUUUAUUGGGUUUAAAGGGAGCGUAGAUGGAUGUUUAAGUCAGUUGUGAAAGUUUGUGGCUCAACCCGUAAAAUUGCAGUUGAUACUGGAUAUCUUGAGUGCAGUUGAGGCAGGCGGAAUUCGUGGUGUAGCGGUGAAAUGCUUAGAUAUCACGAAGAACUCCGAUUGCGAAGGCAGCCUGCUAAGCUGCAACUGACAUUGAGGCUCGAAAGUGUGGGUAUCAAACAGGAUUAGAUACCCUGGUAGUCCACACGGUAAACGAUGAAUACUCGCUGUUUGCGAUAUACUGCAAGCGGCCAAGCGAAAGCGUUAAGUAUUCCACCUGGGGAGUACGCCGGCAACGGUGAAACUCAAAGGAAUUGACGGGGGCCCGCACAAGCGGAGGAACAUGUGGUUUAAUUCGAUGAUACGCGAGGAACCUUACCCGGGCUUAAAUUGCAGAUGAAUUACGGUGAAAGCCGUAAGCCGCAAGGCAUCUGUGAAGGUGCUGCAUGGUUGUCGUCAGCUCGUGCCGUGAGGUGUCGGCUUAAGUGCCAUAACGAGCGCAACCCUUGUUGUCAGUUACUAACAGGUUCCGCUGAGGACUCUGACAAGACUGCCAUCGUAAGAUGUGAGGAAGGUGGGGAUGACGUCAAAUCAGCACGGCCCUUACGUCCGGGGCUACACACGUGUUACAAUGGGGGGUACAGAGGGCCGCUACCACGCGAGUGGAUGCCAAUCCCCAAAACCUCUCUCAGUUCGGACUGGAGUCUGCAACCCGACUCCACGAAGCUGGAUUCGCUAGUAAUCGCGCAUCAGCCACGGCGCGGUGAAUACGUUCCCGGGCCUUGUACACACCGCC